rnacentral:Y_RNA from 1 species
AGCUGGUUUGAUGGUAGUGGGUUAUCAGAACUUACUAAUGUUAGUGUCACUAAAGUUGGUAUACAACCCCCCACUGCUAAAUUUGGCUUUAA